AGUCGAGCGGACAGAAGGGAGCUUGCUCCCGGAUGUUAGCGGCGGACGGGUGAGUAACACGUGGGUAACCUGCCUGUAAGACUGGGAUAACUCCGGGAAACCGGAGCUAAUACCGGAUAGUUCCUUGAACCGCAUGGUUCAAGGAUGAAAGACGGUUUCGGCUGUCACUUACAGAUGGACCCGCGGCGCAUUAGCUAGUUGGUGGGGUAAUGGCUCACCAAGGCGACGAUGCGUAGCCGACCUGAGAGGGUGAUCGGCCACACUGGGACUGAGACACGGCCCAGACUCCUACGGGAGGCAGCAGUAGGGAAUCUUCCGCAAUGGACGAAAGUCUGACGGAGCAACGCCGCGUGAGUGAUGAAGGUUUUCGGAUCGUAAAGCUCUGUUGUUAGGGAAGAACAAGUGCGAGAGUAACUGCUCGCACCUUGACGGUACCUAACCAGAAAGCCACGGCUAACUACGUGCCAGCAGCCGCGGUAAUACGUAGGUGGCAAGCGUUGUCCGGAAUUAUUGGGCGUAAAGGGCUCGCAGGCGGUUUCUUAAGUCUGAUGUGAAAGCCCCCGGCUCAACCGGGGAGGGUCAUUGGAAACUGGGAAACUUGAGUGCAGAAGAGGAGAGUGGAAUUCCACGUGUAGCGGUGAAAUGCGUAGAGAUGUGGAGGAACACCAGUGGCGAAGGCGACUCUCUGGUCUGUAACUGACGCUGAGGAGCGAAAGCGUGGGGAGCGAACAGGAUUAGAUACCCUGGUAGUCCACGCCGUAAACGAUGAGUGCUAAGUGUUAGGGGGUUUCCGCCCCUUAGUGCUGCAGCUAACGCAUUAAGCACUCCGCC
rnacentral:rRNA from 1 species